CGACGUGUGGGGCAAGGUCGGCGACGUCGCCCGCAUCAUGGGCCGGGCGGUGUGCUCGGCGUUCGACGCGCCGCGCGCGGGCC
rnacentral:tRNA from 1 species